rnacentral:rRNA from 1 species
UGGGGAAUAUUGGACAAUGGGCGGAAGCCUGAUCCAGCAACGCCGCGUGAGGGAUGACGGCCUUCGGGUUGUAAACCUCUUUCAGUACCGACGAAGCGAAAGUGACGGUAGGUACAGAGGAAGGACCGGCCAACUACGUGCCAGCAGCCGCGGUAAUACGUAGGGUCCGAGCGUUGUCCGGAAUUAUUGGGCGUAAAGGGCUCGUAGGCGGUUUGUCGCGUCGGGAGUGAAAACGGCGGGCUUAACUCGUUGCUUGCUUUCGAUACGGGCAGACUAGAGGUAUGCAGGGGAGAAUGGAAUUCCUGGUGUAGCGGUGAAAUGCGCAGAUAUCAGGAGGAACACCGGUGGCGAAGGCGGUUCUCUGGGCAUUACCUGACGCUGAGGAGCG